CUGAGUUUGAUCCUGGCUCAGAACGAACGCUGGCGGCAGGCUUAACACAUGCAAGUCGAGCGCCUCGCAAGAGGAGCGGCAGACGGGUGAGUAACGCGUGGGAAUCUACCGUACCCUACGGAAUAGCUCUGGGAAACUGGAAGUAAUACCGUAUACGCCCUUCGGGGGAAAGAUUUAUCGGGGUAUGAUGAGCCCGCGUUGGAUUAGCUAGUUGGUGGGGUAAAGGCCUACCAAGGCGACGAUCCAUAGCUGGUCUGAGAGGAUGAUCAGCCACAUUGGGACUGAGACACGGCCCAAACUCCUACGGGAGGCAGCAGUGGGGAAUAUUGGACAAUGGGCGCAAGCCUGAUCCAGCCAUGCCGCGUGAGUGAUGAAGGUCUUAGGAUUGUAAAGCUCUUUCACCGGAGAAGAUAAUGACGGUAGCCGGAGAAGAAGCCCCGGC
rnacentral:rRNA from 1 species